rnacentral:tRNA from 1 species
AGCAGGGUGGAGCAAUGGCAGCUUGCCGGUCUCAUAAGCCGGAGGUUCCGGGUUCGAGUCCCGGCCCUGCCA